UACGGGGGGAGCAAGCGUUGUUCGGAUUUACUGGGCGUAAAGAGCGUGUAGGCGGUCCGGUAAGUCCGUUGUGAAAGUCAAGGGCUCAACCCUUGAAUGCCGGCGGAUACUGUCGGGCUAGAGUCCGGAAGAGGCAAGUGGAAUUCCCGGUGUAGCGGUGAAAUGCGCAGAUAUCGGGAGGAACACCUAUGGCGAAGGCAGCUUGCUGGGACGGUACUGACGCUGAGACGCGAAAGCGUGGGGAGCGAACAGG
rnacentral:rRNA from 1 species